rnacentral:miRNA from 10 species
GGAUGUUAUUGCAAGUUUUAAA